GCUCUAUCUUUCUGAGAGUUGUAGGCCACAGUCCGUUUCCAUGAAAAAGUACCCAUUUCCACUGUAGCAACUUAUUGAUUUAGAAGAACAGUCAUAGAUCUGCAAGUCAAAAACCUUUGGAAACACCCUAGGUAAGUCGACACUUCAAGGGGAUACCCUUCAUAUUAUACAUUUGCAACUGAGAUGGAUACCUCGA